ACCAAAUAGAUACCCAGGUAGUCCACGCCUAAACGAUGCGAACUGGAUGUUGGGUACAUUACGGUACUCAGUGUCGAAAGCUAAACGCGUUAAGUUCGCCGCCUGGGGAGUACGGUCGCAAGACUGAAACUCAAAGGAAUUGACGGGGGCCCGGCACAAGCGGUGGAGUAUGUGGUUUAAUUCGAUGCAACGCGAAGAACCUUACCUGGCCUUGACAUCUGUCGAAUCCUGCAGAGAUGCGGGAGUGCCGCAAGGAACGACAAGACAGGUGCUGCAUGGCUGUCGUCAGCUCGUGUCGUGAGAUGUUGGGUUAAGUCCCGCAACCGAGCGCAACCCUUGUCCCUAGUUGCCAGCACGUAAUGGUGGGAACUCUAGGGAGACUGCCGGUGACAAACCGGAGGAAGGUGGGGAUGACGUCAAGUCCUCAU
rnacentral:rRNA from 1 species